rnacentral:lncRNA from 1 species
GAAAAUUGGUCAGUAGCCGAAUUCACUCUCUGGAAGAGUCCAGCAACCCGGACCCAGUUCCGCAAUUGGAAGAAGAAGAAGAAGAAGUGAGAGAGAUGAAGAAAGUUAAACAGUGAGAAUUAGUUCCAACGAACAAACCAUGAUUCACCAUAUUAUCCGUAUAGAGAAGGGAUAGGAUCAACUGAAACGGAGGUCAGACAUUUUCCUUUUGAAGAGAAGCUGCUUUGUUGGGGAUGAGGUCUGUGGGAUUUGGUUGACACCCAGGGGAAGAAGACUUGUUCAUCUUUAUACUGUUGUUGCAACUGUUGAGCCACUGUUCUUUUUUAUUUGGAAGAAUCAAGAGGGAGGGAGAGAGAGAUGCAUUGGGUUUGUUGUGAAUUGGAUUCGAUUAGGGGCUUGAUUGGCUAUUUGUGGAGUUCUUUUUUCUUCUUUUUUUCUGCAAGUAAAGUUAUCUUCUCUCGUUGGUAACCCUCUUCCCAGGUGUCGUUUUA